CGGGGCGUCCGGCGAGGCCGGAGCCGGUACUCUGCCCGGUCCUCCAGCGGCUCCGCCGUCUCGGCCGCGGCCUUGGAAAAGACGGCCAGAACAAAGCCCACGCUACGAGCCCCUGCCUCAGAUACAUUUUCAGAUAACGCGUCGGAGCCUCGGACCCCCAGAGGGCCAGCUAGAAAGCACCCGGCCCGCCGUGACCCCGCCCCGUCGCCCAUUCGUCUUUCUCCCUCAGGAAGAGAGCACCGAGCGGCCGACGCAGAGCAGGAUUUCACCCCAACCCCGCCCGCGCGACUGGGGGUCCGGGGCGUCUCUUCUCCUCCGCGUACCGGAGUGGGGGAGGAGGGGUCGCAGAUUUGCCCAGGAAAAGAUGGGAGAAGAGCGCGGACUCUCGCUGCAGACCUCCCGUCAAGGUUACCGCCACCUCUAGGAACCUCUUCGGAGAAGCUCCAAAAUGCCUAUUUUGCAGAAAGCCUGCUAUGGUCACCUUUCCCCUUUCCCAAUUCCCCGCACCAGUUCGCACCAGUUCACACCAGCAACUGAGAUUUAGGCCUGUUUUCCCGAAGGGCCUCGGCCAGUCCCUGCACUUAGUAGGCAUGCAAUAAACCUUGAAAGCCCAAAUGAAUGAUGCUGCUUCCCUAUGCACAUGGUGCUUAGGGGUGCAGGAACAGUGAGAUGUGUCUGAAAACCCUGAAGCACCUUUUCGAAGGAGAAGUUAUUUUUAUAAGCUGUUUUAACAGUGGAUCAUCAGUCACUUUGAAGGGAAGUGAUCCUUGAUUAACAGUUGGCUGAUACUGUGCUUCCACAGAUGUGUGGCAAUAAUACAGGUGCUCCCUAUGAAACACGACAGAGAUUUCUCACAUAGGUCAGUGUGAUGAAGCUUGAUGGCAACAGUUGUUCACUUUGAAUCAAAGAAUAACUGUUAAUUGGUGUGCUGUCAUCAACCAGAAGUUUCCAAAUAUGUGUCCUCCAAUUCAAAGAGAAGUAGCUGGAUGCAAGCAAAAAUACUCAUGGGGACUCUCUGCACAUGAUGCAUCUCCAGAGAAAGUUGCUUCAUUCUUUUUUGUUUUUGGAACACUUCUUACAGUAUACUCCAGCUACUGGAUAGCAUCCUAAGUUCAUCCAGAUUUGUCCCAAGUCUGAAUUCUUGGUCUUCCUCCCACCCUCUAAUUCCACAGAUAAAGAAGAAAUAAUAAUAAAGGAAUAAAAAUCAUUUGUUUCUGUCUGACUGAAUCAUUCCAGUCUUGAAGCACCCUGGUGGGUUAAUUAGCCCUGUUAUUGUAUUUACUAUCUCCUACACACUUGUGUGUGGAAAAGUGCUCCUCUUGGCACUGUUCUAGGUGGAUAAGAGAACAUUACAACUAUGGCACUGGACUUUGCUCUUGAAAUAGAUGGUACUGUGGCAGCCUAAAGCUUGAACGAGCUUAGUUUUUCAUUGAUAAGGGUGUAAGUGGAUCAUCUAUCCCUGAUGUAUGCCAGCUGUGAUUUCAAAUAUUCUUAGUGUGAGCUUUGGUACCAUUAGGAAAAGAAACAUGGUAUCUCUUGUAGGAAGAGUUUGGAGAGGUUUACCCCAGCAAUCAAGAUGGUUAAGAUGAUUAAAUUCUGUGGAUAUAGUGCUUCUACCCUAAGUGAAAGAAAAAGAAAACAGCUGCUAGCUCAUUUCUC
ensembl:lncRNA